rnacentral:rRNA from 1 species
GACGAACGCUGGCGGCGUGCCUAAUACAUGCAAGUAGAACGCUGAAGCUUGGUGCUUGCACCGAGCGGAUGAGUUGCGAAUGGGUGAGUAACGCGUAGGUAACCUGCCUGGUAGCGGGGGAUAACUAUUGGAAACGAUAGCUAAUACCGCAUAAGAGUAGAUGUUGCAUGACAUUGGCUUAAUAGGUGCAAUGGCAUCACUACCAGAUGGACCUGCGUUGUAUUAGCUAGUUGGUGAGGUAACGGCUCACCCAGGCAACGAUACAUAGCCGACCGGAGAGGGUGAUCGGCCACACGGGGACUGGGACACGGCCCAGACUACUACGGGAGGCAGCAGUAGGGGAUCUUCGGCAAUGGACGGAAGUCUGACCGAGCAACGCCGCGUGAGUGAAGAAGGUUUUCGGAUCGUAAAGCUCUGUUGUAAGAGAAGAACGAGUGUGAGAGUGGAAAGUUCACACUGUGACGGUAGCUUACCAGAAAGGGACGGCUAACUACGUG